UACAGAGGUGGCAAGCGUUGUUCGGAAUUACUGGGCGUAAAGGGCGCGUAGGCGGUUCGUUAAGUCCUGUGUGAAAUCCCCCGGCUCAACUGGGGAACUGCACAGGAAACUAGCGGGCUUGAGUUCGGGAGAGGGUAGUGGAAUUCCCGGUGUAGCAGUGAAAUGCGUAGAGAUCGGGAGGAACAUCCGUGGCGAAGGCGACUACCUGGACCAGCACUGACACUGAGGCACGAAAGCGUGGGGAGCAAACAGG
rnacentral:rRNA from 1 species